UGCACUAAAAUGCACAUAUAUGCACAUGUGU
rnacentral:piRNA from 1 species